rnacentral:rRNA from 1 species
UUGCGGUUAAAAAGCUCGUAGUUGGAUUUCUGUCGAGGGCGGCCGGUCCGCACUAUGUGCGUGUAUCUGGUUCGGUCUUGGCAUCCUCUUGGGGAACGUUUCUGUGCUUGAGUGCAUGGAGGCGGAAUUCAAGACUUUUACUUUGAGGAAAUUAGAGUGUUCACGGCAAGCUAUCGCUUUGAAUACAUUAGCAUGGAAUAAUAAUAUAGGGCGUAAGUUCUAUUUUGUUGGUUUCUGGGACAUACGCAAUGAUUAAUAGGGAUAAUUGGGGGCAUUCGUAUUAACGCGUCAGAGGUGGAAUUCUUAGAUUGCGUUACGACGAACUACUGCGAAAGCAUUUGCCAAGGAUGUUUUCAUUGAUCAAGAACGAAAGUAUGGGGAUCGAAGACGAUUAGAUACCGUCGUAGUCUAUACCAUAAACUAUGCCAACUAGGGAUUGGAGGUCGUUCUUUUUAUGACUCCUUCAGCAUCUUAUGAGAAAUCAAAGUCUUUGGGUUCCGGGGGGAGUAUGGUCGCAAGGCUGAAACUUAAAGGAAUUGACGGAAAGGCACCACCAGGAGUGGAGCCUGCGGCUUAAUUUGACUCAACACGGGAAAACUCACUAGGUCCAGACAUAGUAAGGAUUGACAGAUUGAUAGCUCUUUCU